AGGGUAUGCUCAGAGCAAGGGGAAUGAAUAAAGUUUCCUCUGUUCACAACACACCUGACAGGAAUCUGGGUCAUAGUGAUGAGGGGCACAAAACUCGUGGCCUCCCUAUCGACAAACGCCAUACACAC